AAACGGGAGGUGCCUACGGCUCGAGAAGACGAUCACUAAAGCAGGGCUCUCGAAGAGAAGACAGACACCAGCGAAAACUCAGGAAUGGAGUAGGAUGCCUAAAGGAGGGAGGACGGGUUUAAAUAGACCCUGGGAUCCGGUGCCAUAAUGAUCGCGAAUCCCCCAGGCCAGUCCGCAUCCGACACGUGUCCCACUCCCCCUGGCAGACGGCUAAAAGCGGCUGACGGUUGGCAGGAUCAUAAUUGCACCGUACCUAGGCUAGAGUACCUGCG
rnacentral:lncRNA from 1 species